AGUGAACGCUGGCGGUAGGCCUAACACAUGCAAGUCGAACGGCAGCACAGUAAGAGCUUGCUCUUACGGGUGGCGAGUGGCGGACGGGUGAGGAAUACAUCGGAAUCUACUUUUUCGUGGGGGAUAACGUAGGGAAGCUUACGCUAAUACCGCAUACGACCUACGGGUGAAAGCAGGGGAUCUUCGGACCUUGCGCGAUUGAAUGAGCCGAUGUCGGAUUAGCUAGUUGGCGGGGUAAAGGCCCACCAAGGCGACGAUCCGUAGCUGGUCUGAGAGGAUGAUCAGCCACACUGGAACUGAGACACGGUCCAGACUCCUACGGGAGGCAGCAGUGGGGAAUCUUCGACAAUGGGCGAAAGCCUGACCCAGCAAUACCGCGUGGGUGAAGAAGGCCUUCGGGUUGUAAAGCCCUUUUGUUGGGAAAGAAAAGCAGCAGGUUAAUACCCCGCUGUUUUGACGGUACCCAAAGAAUAAGCAACGGCUAACUUCGUG
rnacentral:rRNA from 1 species